UCACAGGGCUUGUGAUCCGUGGAGUUUCACAUUGAUUCAAUGCAGAAGUAUAAACCAGGCUUAUUUGUAUCACACAUUGAUUUAAAGGUGACAACCUGACCCUGUCAGGGACAGCAACAAGAACUUUUGGUGGACAAUUACACCCAUUACAGCCUGUUCCAUGGCUGCAGGAUGAAGAAAUCUACUGGAACAAUUCCAAGCUAGAAGGUCAUCAAACUCAUUUCUGGACAGCCUCAAGUAGCUGGGAGCAGCAGGAGAGUUCUUUCAGACACAGUUCAUGGAGGAGGAGGAGACAUUAAUCCAGCUGUGAAGCCCAGCCAUGAAGUGGACACAAGAGGACGGCUUUAUGAACCAGAGUUUUCAGAGGAAGAGCAAGACUCAACGUACCCAAGGAGAGAGAGGAGAAACUUCUGUUCUAACUGGAGAGCAAGAGACAUCUCAAGUUACCUGGGGAUGCAGCAGAGGCCAAGUUGAGCUUGUUGAGCAUCCUGCAGACUCCCCGGGGCUGAGGUAGAGCUGUGAGAAAUGUGAGGAGCGGAUCGAUGUGAUGAACGGCUGACUCUCCGAGUAGCGAGCAGACGAACUGAACCGCCGGCUAAACCUGCACCGCUCUGUAGCUUUCAUCAAUUCCUCUUUACAUGGAGAGAACGCAGUUACUACAGCACAGACAUGAAUUAAACAUCAUGUUCAAUCAA